UAAGUAGGCUGGAGAGUUCAGGGUGGAA
rnacentral:piRNA from 1 species